AGAAGAGAAACAAGGAGUUUCUGGAAAAGUUAGAAGGUGAGAAACAAAAGAUUGUGUCCAAAUUUGAGGAGCUGCAAAGAUUUCUGAAACAACAAAAGGAAGGUUUGCUAGACCAGUUGGAUGAGCUUGCGAAGAAGCAAGAAAAAAUUGCUACCAGGCUCUCCAGUGAGAUCUGUGUUUAUGACACACUCAUCCAUGAGGUGGAAAAGAAGUGUAAGCAGCCAGCAAGUGUGUUUCUCCAGGAUGUUGGUGAAACUUUGAGCAGAUGCAAGAUAUGGGAAUUUCAGCAACCACUGGAUAUUUCUCCUGAGCUGGAAGAGAAGCUUUGUGCCAUCUCCAAAAACUACCUUAUUAUGCAGGCAACAAUGGAAGA